AGAGUUUGAUCCUGGCUCAGAACGAACGCUGGCGGCGCGUUUUAAGCAUGCAAGUCGAACGGUAGUAGGGUGCUUGCACCCUAUGAGAGUGGCGAACGGGUGAGUAACACGUAGGUAAUCUACCUUGAAGUUGGGGAUAGCCUGUGGAAACACAGAGUAAUACCGAAUGUCCUUGCUUCGGUGAGGAAAGAGGCUAAGGCCUCGCUUUGGGAUGAGCCUGCGGCUCAUUAGCUAGUUGGUGGGGUAAAGGCCUACCAAGGCGACGAUGAGUAGCCGACCUGAGAGGGUGAUCGGCCACACUGGGACUGAGAUACGGCCCAGACUCCUACGGGAGGCAGCAGCUAAGAAUCUUCCGCAAUGGCCGAAAGGCUGACGGAGCGACGCCGCGUGGACGAAGAAGGCCGGAAGGUUGUAAAGUCCUUUAUUGGAGAAGAAUAAUGUGGGGAGGGAAUGCCCUGCAGAUGACGUUAUCCGAUGAAUAAGCCCCGGCUAAUUACGUGCCAGCAGCCGCGGUAACACGUAAGGGGCAAGCGUUGUUCGGAAUUAUUGGGCGUAAAGGGCGCGUAGGCGGCUAUGAAAGUCUGGUGUGAAAGGCCACCGCUUAACGGUGGGAGUGCACUGGAAACUACAUGGCUAGAGUUCAAGAGGGGAAGCUGGAAUUCCUGGUGUAGGGGUGAAAUCUGUAGAUAUCAGGAAGAACACCUGUGGCGAAGGCGAGCUUCUGGCUAUGAACUGACGCUGAGGCGCGAAAGCGUGGGGAGCGAACAGGAUUAGAUACCCUGGUAGUCCACGCUGUAAACGAUGUGCACUAGGUGUUGGCUGUUGUAACGGUCAGUGCCGAAGCAAACGCGAUAAGUGCACCGCCUGGGGAGUAUGCUCGCAAGGGUGAAACUCAAAGGAAUUGACGGGGGCCCGCACAAGCGGUGGAGCAUGUGGUUUAAUUCGAUAUACGCGAGGAACCUUACCAGGGCUUGACAUAUGCAUGACGAUCAUAGAGAUAUGGUUUCCCUUCGGGGCGUGUAUACAGGUGCUGCAUGGUUGUCGUCAGCUCGUGCUGUGAGGUGUUGGGUUAAGUCCCGCAACGAGCGCAACCCCUGCUGUCUGUUGCCAGCAUUUAGGAUGGGAACUCAGACGGUACUGCCGGUGACAAACCGGAGGAAGGUGGGGACGACGUCAAAUCAUCAUGGCCCUUAUGUCCUGGGCUACACACGUGCUACAAUGGUUGGUACAGAGCGAUGCAAAACCGCGAGGUGGAGCAAAUCGCAGAAAGCCGGCCUCAGUACGGAUUGGAGUCUGAAACUCGACUUCAUGAAGUUGGAAUCGCUAGUAAUCGCGCAUCAGCAUGGCGCGGUGAAUACGUUCCCGGGCCUUGUACACACCGCCCGUCACACCACCCGAGUUGGGGGUACCCGAAGUCGCUCGUCUAACCGUUUACGGAGGACGGUGCCGAAGGUAUGUCUGGUAAGGGGGGUGAAGUCGUAACAAGGUA
rnacentral:rRNA from 1 species